UACGGAGGGGGCAAGCGUUAUUCGGAAUCAUUGGGCGUAAAGGGCGUGUAGGCGGCCAAACAGGUCCGUUGUGAAAACUGGAGGCUCAACCUCCAGACGUCGACGGAAACCGUAUGGCUAGAGUCCGGAAGAGGAGAGUGGAAUUCCUGGUGUAGCGGUGAAAUGCGCAGAUAUCAGGAAGAACACCAAUGGCGAAGGCAGCUCUCUGGGACGGUACUGACGCUGAGACGCGAAAGCGUGGGGAGCGAACAGG
rnacentral:rRNA from 1 species